UAGAAUUCAAACUCUCUUUGGGGCCUGUAGUAUGUUCCAAGGGUUGGGCUGUUCGCCCAUUAAAGCGGUAUGUGAGUUGGGUUCAGAACAUCGUGAGAUAGUUC
rnacentral:ncRNA from 1 species